AGAGAAUUGGCCGAGCGGUCUAUGGCGGUAACCUUGAGUCUUAUUUAGAAGUGAAAUUCUUCAUGGGUUCGAAUCCCAUAUUCUCUG
rnacentral:tRNA from 1 species